rnacentral:rRNA from 1 species
CCUACGGGAGGCAGCAGUGAGGAAUAUUGGUCAAUGGACGAGAGUCUGAACCAGCCAAGUAGCGUGAAGGAUGACUGCCCUAUGGGUUGUAAACUUCUUUUAUAUGGGAAUAAAAUGUUCCACGUGUGGGAUUUUGUAUGUACCCUAUGAAUAAGGAUCGGCUAACUCCGUGCCAGCAGCCGCGGUAAUACGGAGGAUCCGAGCGUUAUCCGGAUUUAUUGGGUUUAAAGGGAGCGUAGGUGGAUUGUUAAGUCAGUUGUGAAAGUUUGCGGCUCAACCGUAAAAUUGCAGUUGAAACUGGCAGUCUUGAGUACAGUAGAGGUGGGCGGAAUUCGUGGUGUAGCGGUGAAAUGCUUAGAUAUCACGAAGAACUUCGAUUGCGAAGGCAGUUCACUGGACUGCAACUGACACUGAGGCUCGAAAGUGUGGGUAUCAAACAGGAUUAGAUACCCCAGUAGUC